CAUCACCAGCUCUUCCAUCCACAAUAGUUUUUUGCCUUCGGCGCACGUGACGAGGAGGUCGCAGUGCGAUGCUGGCCUUGUUUGUUGCUGUGGCCGCGGUCCUCGGCACAUCGCUUGUGCUGGUUGCGUUGUGGACAGUGCAGCGCGUUCCGAGGUGGGAGUGGGAGUCCUCAACAGUACUCAUCACUGGCGGCAGCGUCGGCAUUGGCCUCGCCACUGCCAAAAGCCUUGCACGCAAAAAAGUGCCAUUCCUUGUCCUCGCAGCGCGCCGCGAGUCUGUGCUGCGAGAGGCAGUGCAGCAGGUUGAGAAAGUCAUCGACGAAUGCCGCAGCUGCACGCGUGUGUCAUAUGUAGUAAUGGAUGUUGCGGACGAAGCCUCCGUCGCCACCGGCCUUGCCCGUGCCAAAGCACAGUGCGACGGGCGCCCCAUCAACCUUCUCAUCUGCAACGCCGGUUUUGCCCAUCCAGCUCGUUUUGUGGACAGCGCGAUGAGGCACGCUCGGCAGAUGAUGGAGGUGAACUACUUUGGAUCUCUGGCAGUGCUGUGGAAGGUGCUGCCGGGGAUGCUGGAGAUUAAUCAGGGCCGCGUUGUGCUGACGAGCAGCAUGGCGGCCCGGGCACCGAUUGCAGGAUACGCCUUGUACAGUGCCACCAAGGCUGGGCUGCGUGCCUUUGCCCACAGUCUGGACAUGGAGAACAGUUGCCUCGGCGUGCGUGUGCAGGUUGUAAGCCCGCCGGACGUGGCGACACCUGGGUACGCGCACGAAAACGAGGUCAAGAGCCCCGAGUGCGCCGCCAUCUCGUCGUUCGGGGGUGCAAAGCCGUUCACGGCGGAGGCAAUGGCACAGGCUAUUGUCGAUGGCAUCGCGGACUACUCGUUCGACAUCACGCUUGGGUCGGAUGGCAGGCUGCUCAGCUACGGCUCUGCCGGCAUGGAACCGGCGACUAGCGUGGCAGCGCUGUUAGCGCAGUCUUUGCUCGGCGGCGUGCUGCGUCUAGGGCUGGCGGUGUUCUCUAAGAUACACUACAGCAUUGUGAAGAAGGUGCGCCUGUCGGAGGCGUCGUCAGCCCCGUCGCCGCGCUGAUAGAGAUGCUUCUUUGUGUGUGCGUCGGCAUGUUUGACUGCUUCGGCGAUCCAUCGUCAUGUCGCCAGCGAGGGGUAUAUAAGAAGGGAGAGAGGCUGCCGCUGAACCCGCGUAGGGAUCACCAUCGAAAGCAAAACAGGAGAAUAGUAAAGGAGCAAGCCAGCGCGCACCGCGGCUAACGAGAGCGUGUCCACAAGAGGAGCGCCCACGCUGCGAUGCUUGCGGCAGCGCGAAUGUCGAAAUCGCUGCUGUCUUUUGGCGGCGGAAAGAGAGGAGAAGUCCCCCUUUGUUUGGCAGGGGGGAGGAGGGGGGGGGCGCACGCACAAGGGUGGUGUGCAAGCGUGCCGCGCCGCCGUUGCACUGUUUUCUUUUCCGCGAAGCAGCAGUCGCCCUGGUCACUUUUUCUUCUAGUCUUCGCGUGUCUCUCCUACUCCGUCGGGCUUUCGUCUGCCGACGUGCUUCGACGUGUCUGUGCAUCGGUCGACCCUGUGAGCGGCAUGACCGACACGCACGCAUACACGGUAUUAG
rnacentral:misc_RNA from 1 species